UUCUUCCUUUUUGUUUUCUUCUUCUGCAGUCCCUUUGUCUUCCGGUGUUCUUCUGCAACUCUUUUUUCUUCAUUCUUUUGCUUUCAUCAUCAAAGUUAACUUCUUUGUUUCUAUCAUUACUUUAGUAUGAUAUCAUACCUUCAAAAGUUCAAACGAAAAAAACGAAAAGUUUGUCCAAAUCAGAUGGAAAAAGAGUUAGCACUUCCGUUUCCCCUCCUUCUGUGGCUGGUGAUGCUACACCCGUACAAACUCGUCCCAUGACUCAUAGAGAUAUUGUCAACGAGUUUAAUCUUGGUAGAUUUCAAGUUAUGUUCCCAAGCGGUGUUGGUGGUGAAAAGACAAGGUACCCAAAAAUACACCACAAUCUUUUAAAUAUCAACCUAUAAGUCUGAUAUCUUAAGUGAUGUCUAAGUCUUAUUGUAACAACAUUACUCGGUCGAACUCACAAGUAUUGUUAUAUCAAGCUUGUUGUCAAAUUUAGUUGUCAAAAUUAUAUCUUGA